GCACCCGUAGCUCAGCUGGAUAGAGCAACCGAUUUCUAAUCGGUAGGUCUCAGGUUCGAAUCCUGACGGGUGCGCCA
rnacentral:tRNA from 1 species